GACGAACGCUGGCGGCGUGCUUAACACAUGCAAGUCGAACGGAAAGGCCUGCUUUCCCUUGUGGAUUGCGGGUACUCGAGUGGCGAACGGGUGAGUAACACGUGAGUGAUCUGCCCCCAACUUGGGUAUAAGCCUGGGAAACUGGGUCUAAUUCCCGAUAGGACUGCAGGGUGGUGCCUGUGGUGGAAAACGAUUUUCUAAUGGUUGGGGAUGAGCUCGCGGCCUAUCAGCUUGUUGGUGGGGUAAUGGCCUACCAAGGCGGCGACGGGUAGCCGGCCUGAGAGGGUGGACGGCCACAUUGGGACUGAGAUACGGCCCAGACUCCUACGGGAGGCAGCAGUGGGGAAUAUUGCACAAUGGGCGGAAGCCUGAUGCAGCGACGCCGCGUGGGGGAUGACGGCCUUCGGGUUGUAAACUCCUUUCGACCGCGAGGAAGCCACCUGGUUGGAAGGGUGGUGACGGUAGUGGUAGAAGAAGCACCGGCUAACUACGUG
rnacentral:rRNA from 1 species